AGAGAGUUGGCAGAGUGGUCGAAUGCGGCGGUCUUGAAAACCGUUGACUGUUACAGGUCCGGGGGUUCGAAUCCCUCACUCUCUACAA
rnacentral:tRNA from 1 species